rnacentral:rRNA from 1 species
AAACCAGCACCCCAAGUGGUCAGGAGGAUUAUUGGGCCUAAAGCAUCCGUAGCCUGUUCUAUAAGUUUCCGGUUAAAUCCACUAGCUCAACUAGUGGGCUGCCGAAAAUACUGUAGAACUAGGGAGUGGGAGAGGUAGACGGUAUUCGGUAGGAAGGGGUAAAAUCCUUUGAUCUAUUGAGGACCACCUGUGGCGAAGGCGGUCUUCCAGAACACGUUCGACGGUGAGGGAUGAAAGCUGGGGGAGCAAACCGGAUUAGAAACCCGAGUAGUCC